CUCUAGGCUGAACGGUACCUUAUAAGCUAUAAUUAAAUUUAAAUCGGACGCCUAACAUUGAGGGGCUUCUUCAGCAUCGAAUCGAGGCUGCUUUUCAACAAAGUUGCCCUUAACCAAAUGCAUAAUAAUCGGCAUUCAGCUGCUGGGUUUUUCAACAGCGCACUGCUAAAUCUUUUUUAUCAGGCAUCAGCUCACUUGAGCUUCCCGUAUACAGCUGCAACAUUCCCAUGGAAACAGCUGUGCUGUCACCUCCACUUUCCCACCUAAGCAGUUGUGUUCUGGACUGGUUGCCACUGUAAGAUUAAGCUGCAAGAGAAGUCUCUUUGGCACAACUGUUGCUGCGGCAUUUGAUUUUCAACAUUCAAAGCCAGAGUGGCCAGUGGCAAAACUCUUUCUCCUGCAAUUUUUAGAGGGCUAACAAGUUUCAUCACCUUUGGGGCAGAGAACUCUAAAUAUGUAUCCAAGAGAAGAAUGAUGAAGGACAGAGACAUCAAUACAAAGAUGCCAAAAAAAAAAAAAUAAUAACACUGAAGAACCAAGUGUAAGAAUCAAUAAAAUAUAGUGUUUUAUUUAUUCAUUA